CCUACGGGAGGCAGCAGUAGGGAAUAUUGCUCAAUGGGGGAAACCCUGAAGCAGCAACGCCGCGUGGAGGAUGAAGGUCUUAGGAUUGUAAACUCCUUUUGUGAGAGAAGAUAAUGACGGUAUCUCACGAAUAAGCACCGGCUAACUCCGUGCAAGCAGCCGCGGGAAUACGGAGGGUGCAAGCGUUACUCGGAAUCACUGGGCGUAAAGCGUGCGCAGGUGGGAUUGUAAGUCAGAUGUGAAAUCCUUUAGCUUAACUACAGAACUGCAUUUGAAACUAGGAGUCUAGAGUGUGGGAGAGGUAGGUGGAAUUCUUGGUGUAGGGGUAAAAUCCGUAGAUAUCAAGAGGAAUACUCAUUGCGAAGGCGACCUACUGGAACAUUACUGACGCUCAUGCACGAAAGCGUGGGGAGCAAACAGGAUUAGAUACCCCUGUAGUC
rnacentral:rRNA from 1 species